UACGGGGGGGGGCAAGCGUUGUUCGGAAUUACUGGGCGUAAAGGGCUCGUAGGUGGCCAACUAAGUCAGACGUGAAAUCCCCAGGCUCAACUUGGGAACUGCGUCUGAUACUGGAUGGCUUGAAUUCGGGAGAGGGAUGCAGAAUUCCAGGUGUAGCGGUGAAAUGCGUAGAUAUCUGGAGGAAUACCGGUGGCGAAGGCGGCAUCCUGGACCGAGAUUGACACUGAUGAGCGAAAAGCUAGGGGAGCAAAACGGG
rnacentral:rRNA from 1 species